rnacentral:lncRNA from 1 species
UGGUCUUGAUUCAUAAUGUAUGGACUUGCGCAGCGCGGAAUACAGGACGAAACACUUGAAGAAGCGCACACGGACAGUGCUGUCCCUCAAUUAAGAUUU